rnacentral:rRNA from 1 species
GAUGAACGCUAGCUACAGGCUUAACACAUGCAAGUCGAGGGGUAACAAGAGAAAAGCUUGCUUUUCUUGUUGACGACCGGCGCACGGGUGAGUAACGCGUAUCCAACCUGCCUAUAACUAGGGAAUAACCUUGCGAAAGUAAGACUAAUACCCUAUGAUUUCCUUUGAUGACAUCAGAUUAGGAAUAAAGAUUUAUCGGUUAUAGAUGGGGAUGCGUCUGAUUAGCUUGUUGGCGGGGUAACGGCCCACCAAGGCAACGAUCAGUAGGGGUUCUGAGAGGAAGGUCCCCCACAUUGGAGCUGAGACACGGUCCAAACUCCUACGGGAGGCAGCAGUGAGGAAUAUUGGUCAAUGGGCGGAAGCCUGAACCAGCCAAGUAGCGUGCAGGAUGACGGCCCUAUGGGUUGUAAACUGCUUUUAUACAGGAAUAAAGUUAGCCACGUGUGGUUAUUUGUAGGUACUGUAUGAAUAAGGACCGGCUAACUUCGUGCCAGCAGCCGCCGUAACAC